GCCAAAACAUGUGCGUCCAGGCUUAAUUGGUUGCACAAAGACCAAGCCAGGAUGAGCAGACACGGAUUCAUUAAGCCAGGUGAAACCAAUCCUGGAUAGGUGCGCGCUCACGGCUCACUCAAAUAGACCCCGCCACAGAUCACAGAUUAACUGAUUUACCAUGGCAACUAGAGCCGCGUACUUUUCCCCGUCGGAAGCACAAAUCCUCAUGGAGGCAUACGAGGAGGUAAAAGAUAUAAUUAAGAAGAAAGGCAACACCGCCACAGUGAUAAAGCAAAGAGAAAAAGCGUGGCAAAGUAUUGCAGACCGCCUGAAUGCAUUAAACAUGAACGGGCCAAAACGGACAUGGCAGCAGGUCAAAAUCAAAUACAAGAACAUUCUGCAGAAUGGUAUGGUCCCUGACUAAUAUUUAACAAAGCACAAGCAUAUAUUGUACCCAGAAGGUGCCUGCUCACACAUUGUCUGUACUGUUUUAGCAGUGAAAAAGAAUACCCACAGACAAGGCACGGGUGGUGGGUCACCAAAGGCUGACCUUACCCCAGCAGAGGACAUGGCCUUGGAGCUAAAUAAAGGCAGGCCCGUCUUAGAGGGGAUCCCUGGGGGAAAGAGACGAGCAUAGGUUCCUCCCAAGAUGCCACCCGCUUCAUUCAAGUGUCUGGCAGCACUGUGUUCCUGUUAGAGCCACCAGCACAAGCACCAGACGAUGCUGAUCCAGGUGAAGGCCCCAGUGCAGCAGCAACAGCACAUGAUGGAGACGAUGAUGAUGAGGAGGAGACCAUCUCUCUGGAUUCCAGAAGGCAUGAGGUAUCAUGGUAAGACUGUGAAAGUACUAUUUACUCUACAAUGGUGAGGAGUCCUCAUCAAAAUCAAAAAAUCUAAUUUCUUUUACAGGACCCAGAUGCUAUACAGUGGGAAAACCAGCCUGGCAACAUAAGCUCACAAGCUAUCAGAAAGUUGUAUGGCAACCACCUCCGGCGCCAAAUAGAACUGGCAGACAUAGACAUUCAGUACAAGAAGAAAAACAUGGAAAAUCUUGCACUGGAGUCCGAAAUAAAAAAGAGGACAAUUAGGAAACUGGACCUUGAAAUAAAAAAACUUGAGAGGGAGCUCCAAGAAGAUGACACAGCUCAAAAUAAAAAUGAGCAAUCAGUACAACCAAGUCAUCGUUAUAAGGCAUCGCCCUCUUUUGCCCACCCCCCCCAGCACCAGGUGUGGCCACUAGCCUAUAUGAAGGCCCAAAAUUGUGUGUUCCUUUCUGCUCUGACAAUGGCAUGCCCAUUCGUGCGAGAUGUGGUGGAUGAAGAAGCACUUGUGCUGAGGAGAGCCUUCAGGCGAGAAAGGGUCUUCAGGGACCGGUUGGACCCACUGGCCUUCCCUGACGACCUACAGAUGGCAUCAGGUAUCUAUGCAGACUACUGGGUCCCAGGAUUAAGCACCGCACUGCACGGAGC